rnacentral:tRNA from 1 species
GGCCGGUUAGAUCAGUUGGUUAGAGCAUCGUGCUAAUAACGCGAGGUCAUGGGUUUGAUCCCCCUACUGGCCA